rnacentral:rRNA from 1 species
GAUGAACGCUGGCGGCGUGCCUAACACAUGCAAGUCGAGCGAUUUACUUCGGUAAAGAGCAGCGGACGGGUGAGUAACGCGUGGGUAACCUGCCCUAUACCCACGGAUAACAUACCGAAAGGUAUGCUAAUACGAGAUAAUAUAAGAGAUUCACAUGGAUUUCUUAUCAAAGCUGAGGCGGUAUAGGAUGGACCCGCGUCUGAUUAGCUAGUUGGUAAGGUAACGGCUUACCAAGGCGACGAUCAGUAGCCGACCUGAGAGGGUGAUUGGCCACAUUGGAACUGGGACACGGUCCAAACUCCUACGGGAGGCAGCAGUGGGGAAUAUUGCACAAUGGGCGAAAGCCUGAUGCGGCAACGCCGCGUGAGUGAUGAAGGCCUUCGGGUCGUAAAACUCUGUCCUCAAGGAAGAUAAUGACGGUACUUGAGGAGGAAGCCCCGGCUAACUACGUGCCAGCCGCCGCCGUAAUAC